UCUGGAGACAUCAACCAAGAAGACGCCGCAAAAGAUCACAGAACACACGAACGCCCAGACAUCAAAGAAAGAGCGCCCCAGCAAUCGUUCAAGGAACUGCAGCAGAGUGCCGAAUCAUUGCUCAGCUCUUGAUGCAGGUAAGUUGGUUGGCUCAGACUGAACAACAGAGAUCAGAGUUGAAAUCCUCGAGCCUCUAGGAUUCUUCUAACACUGGAGAAGAACCUAAUUAGAAACCCAGUGGGCAGAAGUUGAGAUCAACCUGGGAUGUGCUGAUGUCCUUCUCUACACUGGCAUGAACACCCAAUGACUCAUUAUUGUGUUGGUUGUAACUGUUGUAUUCUAGUAGGCUCUCCUUGUAGAGAUACUCCCCUGAAGGUAGUAGGGUAAUGAUCUCCCAAGUUUCUUCCUGUUAUAAUGAUCAGCUGGACACGACUUUCAGUGCUAAAAUUGUGACAGCCCUGAGCAAACCAAGAUAGUUGUCCUAAAAAUAGACCUUAUCACUGUCAAUCACAGGGAAAGAAUUUAGAAAGACUAAACAAGGAAAAAUGGACUGAAGAAUGUUAAUUUUGAGUCUGUCAUCUUUUAUACAAUUUUGUAAAAUCUUGGUAGAAUCCAGACAAUAAAACAGGCCCAGGGAUGUGGACACGCACACCGAGUUAAUAGCUUCCUGUUUCUUUUCUUUUCUUUUUCCUAGCACUUAGAAGGCUGAGGCAGGCAGGUGGCAAGCUUGAAGAUAAUAUAGGCUACAUACCUUAUGAAGGAAACAAAACAGUUUUUGUUAAGUUUUGCAGAAUAUGAAGUUAUAGCUCCAAGUAGAAUGCUUGCUUAGUGUGUGCUAGGUUCUGGGUUUGAUUUCUCAGCAAUAAAUAAACAAACAAAACAAAAGCAAA